rnacentral:rRNA from 1 species
UACGUAGGGACCAAGCGUUGUUCGGAUUUACUGGGCGUAAAGGGCGCGUAGGCGGCCUGUGCAAGUCAGUUGUGAAAUCUCCGGGCUUAACUCGGAACGGUCAACUGAUACUGCUCGGCUAGAGUGCGGAAGGGGCAACUGGAAUUCUUGGUGUAGCGGUGAAAUGCGUAGAUAUCAAGAGGAACACCUGCGGCGAAGGCGGGUUGCUGGGCCGACACUGACGCUGAUGCGCGAAAGCUAGGGGAGCGAACGGG